AGAGAGAGAGAGGAGGAGCCGUGUUGUCUACGCAGCAGACAGAAUAUAUCAUAAAGACACAAGUUUAGGACACCCAUCUGUGUCAUCCUUAUCCGCCAAAGUAACUAGGUAAUCUCACUCUGCAAACUAAAACACUGAAACAAUGCCAAACUCCACGUCAGCUUUGGAGUGACAGAAUUGAUUACCAAAUGAUAUCCCUAGCAUUAUUGCCUCUAGAUGUGGGACGUACCCAUCUGAAAGGGAUCGGCUACCCGACCAAAGUUUUCACCAGGCCUUACCAUUAUUUUUUGACUUUGGAUUCCUUCUUUAACCAGACUUCAACACACCAUCCCUUGUAUUUCUCCUGUACACACUUAUUUUUAGUUCUUUUACACGGUUGUAUUCCUCCUGUACACAAUUAUAAUGUUUCUGUACAAUGCAUGGUUAUUUAUAACUGUAUGCAUAUUGGAGGAUAAGUAUGUACUCUCGCUAGAGAGUAGGACUAGUUGAAGGAACUCUGAAACUUAAAGUGGUUAUUAAAAGCCCAGCCUUUCAUGGUCUCUAAAACCACUAAAGCAAGCUCAUUUUGUAACUCUUGGGGCUUGUUUGGUUCACGAAAAGCAAUUUUUUUUUAUGGAAAUAUGAUUUCUAGAAAUCAAAUUUCUAAAAAAAGGAUGCUUGAAAAAGUACUUUUGGCAUGUUUGAUUUACCAUGGAAAAGCGACAGAUUUUCAGAGUGUUUAUGUUUGAUUGACCAUCCACUUUUUUGAAAAAAUUAUAUGUAAUUCCUAUUAUACCCUUAAUAAAAAUUAGGUCUUUAAUGCUUUGGAUCAAAUAAGAAUAG
rnacentral:lncRNA from 1 species